AACGCACCUUGCGCUCCUUGGUAUUCCGAGGAGCAUGCCUGUUUGAGUGUCAUGAAAUUCUCAACCAUUUCAGCUUUUUCUAGCUGAUUUAGGCUUGGAUGUGGGAGUUUGCGGGCUUCUCUGAAGUCGGCUCUCCUUAAAUAUAUUAGUAGGGACCUCUGUUGCCUCAGCUCUUGGUGUGAUAGUUAUCUACGCCAUUCUGCGAAGCAGCUUUAAAAUGGGGUUACUGCUUUCUAACAGUCUCUACCGAGACAACUUCUGACAAUUUGACCUCAAAUCAGGUAGGACUACCCGCUGAACUUAA
rnacentral:misc_RNA from 1 species